AAAUUGAAGAGUUUGAUCAUGGCUCAGAUUGAACGCUGGCGGCAGGCCUAACACAUGCAAGUCGAACGGUAACAGGAAGAAGCUUGCUUCUUUGCUGACGAGUGGCGGACGGGUGAGUAAUGUCUGGGAAACUGCCUGAUGGAGGGGGAUAACUACUGGAAACGGUAGCUAAUACCGCAUAACGUCGCAAGACCAAAGAGGGGGACCUUCGGGCCUCUUGCCAUCGGAUGUGCCCAGAUGGGAUUAGCUAGUAGGUGGGGUAACGGCUCACCUAGGCGACGAUCCCUAGCUGGUCUGAGAGGAUGACCAGCCACACUGGAACUGAGACACGGUCCAGACUCCUACGGGAGGCAGCAGUGGGGAAUAUUGCACAAUGGGCGCAAGCCUGAU
rnacentral:rRNA from 1 species